rnacentral:rRNA from 1 species
AUUGAACGCUGGCGGCAUGCUUUACACAUGCAAGUCGAACGGUAACAGGCCGCAAGGUGCUGACGAGUGGCGAACGGGUGAGUAAUGCAUCGGAACGUGCCCAGUCGUGGGGGAUAACUACUCGAAAGAGUAGCUAAUACCGCAUACGAUCUAUGGGUGAAAGCGGGGGGCCGUAAGGCCUCGCGCGAUUGGAGCGGCCGAUGUCAGAUUAGGUAGUUGGUGGGGUAAAGGCUCACCAAGCCAACGAUCUGUAGCUGGUCUGAGAGGACGACCAGCCACACUGGGACUGAGACACGGCCCAGACUCCCACGGGAGGCAGCAGUGGGGAAUUUUGGACAAUGGGCGCAAGCCUGAUCCAGCAAUGCCGCGUGCAGGAAGAAGGCCUUCGGGUUGUAAACUGCUUUUGUACGGAACGAAACGGCUCUGGUUAAUACCCGGGGCUAAUGACGGCACCGUAAGAAUAAGCACCGGCUAACUACGUG